rnacentral:rRNA from 1 species
CAGGGAUUGCCUCAGUAACGGCGAGUGAAGCGGCAACAGCUCAAAUUUGAAAUCUGACCCCCUCGGGGCCCGAGUUGUAAUUUGUAGAGGGUGUUUCGGGCGCGGCGCCGGUCUAAGUUCCUUGGAACAGGACGUCACAGAGGGUGAGAAUCCCGUAUGUGACCGGCGAUCAAGCCCAUGUGAAGCCCCUUCGACGAGUCGAGUUGUUUGGGAAUGCAGCUCAAAAUGGGUGGUAAAUUUCAUCUAAAGCUAAAUAUUGGCCAGAGACCGAUAGCGGACAAGUAGAGUGAUCGAAAGAUGAAAAGCACUUUGGAAAGAGAGUCAAACAGUACGUGAAAUUGUUGAAAGGGAAGCGCUUGCAAUCAGACCGGUCCGGGGGCGAUCAGCCGCUGCUCGUCAGCGGUGCACUCGCCCUCGAUCCGGCCAGCAUCGGUUUGGGCGGCGGGAGAAAAGUCCCGGGAAUGUAGCUUCCUUCGGGGAGUCUUAUAGCCCGGGUCGGCAUGCCGCCCGCCUGGACCGAGGACCGCGCUUCGGCUAGGAUGCUGGCAUAAUGGUUGCAAGCGACCCGUCUUGAAACACGGACCAAGGAGUCUAACAUCUAUGCGAGUGUUUGGGUGUCAAACCCGGGCGCGGAAUGAAAGUGAACGGAGGUGGGAACCCGUCAGACGGCGCACCAUCGACCGAUCCAGAUGUCUUCGGAUGGAUUUGAGUACGAGCAUAGCUGUUGGGACCCGAAAGAUGGUGAACUAUGCCCGGAUAGGGUGAAGCCAGAGGAAACUCUGGUGGAGGCUCGCAGCGGUUCUGACGUGCAAAUCGAUCGUCAAAUCUAGGCAUAGGGGCGAAAGACCAAUCGAACCAUCUAG